UUAUACUAAAUAGUUUUAAUUUUUUUGGCUUUGUGUUUUUCUUUUGAUUUAAAGAGAGUUGUUACAGAAGAAACCUGACAAUAAUAGCUGAUAUUGAGGCAUAUAGUAACCUCUUGGUUUUCUUUUCUGAAGAUCUUUGAGGUAGUUUCUGGUACAGGAAGUUAACAGUAAACUCUGUACCAGGAAGCACUAGUGCACACUUGCUUUAAGUUAUUUUAAAGACAGUGCUUGUUGUUUACUUGAGUUUUUGAAAAUACAAUAUAUAGAAUGAAGAAUCCUUGAGGGAUGCUAUAUGAAGAUAUCCACUGAUAUUUUAUAAAAGUUUUGAAAGUUCGGGGUUUGAUUCUAUUUCUUCUCGAGUCUAGAGUUUAAAAGUAAUUUAAGAAUGAAACAGAAGUCUCUACAGGGACCUUUUAGUUUGUAGGCUUACCGAUAACAUUUUGAAAAACUCUAUUUCUAUUAAGCACUGCAGUUUUUCAUUAGAUUUCAAUAGCCCUUUUUCUCUUUCUCUCUGACACGUUGCAAGUAACAGAUCUGUACAAUUGGAAUGUAACACUUUACUGUGGCUUAGCAUUAAUUGUCUUUCUUAGCACAGGCAAAUAGAAUUUAAAACAAUGCUUUGAAGAAUAUUAACAUGAAGUGCAGCCUUUUCAAUUUUCAGCCAUGCAGAGAAGUGAUUUCGAAGUGACAUUAACUUUCAAAUAAAAUUCUUUUGAGGAACCUUAUAAUGCUCACCCCUCCCCCCCUUUUUUUGGUCUUUGGAAGACUUCCUAGCUAUAAUUUUUGACAAUCUUUAGGUGCAUUCAUGUUUUUAGAUUGCUUCACAUAAGUCAAAAUAACUUGGCACUAUAGAGCCUUAAAGUUUAAUACUAAUGGUUUUAAAUAAUGCUCUUUUUGAAAACCAUGUUGGACUUCUCUAUUAACUUUUAUCAUUAUUUGCCUUGGAGAAGUAUCUUAAAGAGACUUUCAUAAAGCCACAGCUUCUCUAAUCUAUUUAAAUCUCUUGCAUCUGUGAAUUUCAUAUUUGAUUGUACUUUUAACUCAAUUCCAAGUUAUAUCUAAAAACUUUUUCGUCUUGAAAGAAGUUUGUUGUUUGUAAUUAAUUUUUGAAAGUAAUUUUGAGUAAAUUUGAAGUAAUUUUAGUAAAAUGAAUAAAAGUAAAUAUGAGUAAUUUUAAAUGAGCCAUAUAGAGUAUUGGGAAAACUAUUAUAUGCAUAUUUUCCCCUGCUUUUGCAUGUAGGACUCCAGAAAGUCGAAACAUCAAGGAAUAUUUGCCAUUUCUUUAGGAAUCUCAUGAUUUUCCCUUUUUGGAACUUCUGUCAACAUUUUUUUUAUUUCAUAUGAUUCUAUGAGGCUUCUGGAUGGUUCUUCUGCUGCAUGUUGUGUCGGCUGGGGUUCCUCAGAGUCACGGAGAAGAGGAGACAGCGUGUGCAAGGGAAUGAAGAAAAGGACCAAGACUAUUUUAAAAUCACCCAUGGCACUACUAGAAAAGUAUUUCAGCAAAAAGACUGGCUGAUUUUAUGAUUCCUGUGUCCACCACACCCCUCUAAUUUUUACAUAGGUACCCCACAUCUCUCCAGAUUUCAGGAAGACUAUUAUCCUUUGACUUUAGCUUUCUGAUGGGUUCACAAAAAGCUGUUAGUGUGCUGUUGGUCCAGCUUUUUUCUUGUUGCAAAUAUGAGAGCUACAGUUCUGAGAUGAAACCACAGUUCUAGGGUACAUGUGGAUAACGUGCAGGUGUUACAUA